GACGAACGCUGGCGGCGUGCCUAACACAUGCAAGUCGAGCGAUGAAACCCUUCGGGGUGGAUUAGCGGCGGACGGGUGAGUAACACGUGGGUAACCUGCCUCAAAGAGGGGGAUAGCCUCCCGAAAGGGAGAUUAAUACCGCAUAAUAUUAGUUUUUCGCAUGAAGAACUAAUUAAAGGAGUAAUCCGCUUUGAGAUGGACCCGCGGCGCAUUAGCUAGUUGGUGAGGUAAAGGCUCACCAAGGCGACGAUGCGUAGCCGACCUGAGAGGGUGAUCGGCCACAUUGGAACUGAGACACGGUCCAGACUCCUACGAGAGGCAGCAGUGGGGAAUAUUGCACAAUGGGCGAAAGCCUGAUGCAGCAACGCCGCGUGAGUGAUGAAGGCCUUCGGGUUGUAAAGCUCUGUCUUUUGGGACGAUAAUGACGGUACCAAAGGAGGAAGCCACGGCUAACUACGUGCCAGCUGCCGCCGUAACAC
rnacentral:rRNA from 1 species